UACGUAGGGCGCAAGCGUUGUCCGGAAUUAUUGGGCGUAAAGGGCUCGUAGGCGGUCUGUUGCGUCGGGAGUGAAAACUCACAGCUCAACUGUGGGCGUGCGGGCGAUACGGGCAGACUGGAGUACUGCAGGGGAGACUGGAAUUCCUGGUGUAGCGGUGGAAUGCGCAGAUAUCAGGAGGAACACCGGUGGCGAAGGCGGGGUCUCUGGGGCAGUAAACUGAC
rnacentral:rRNA from 1 species